rnacentral:lncRNA from 1 species
AUGUCAUUAAGCGUAAGUGAAAGAACGAGAAUUUAAAAGUUAACAUUUCAAUAUCCCUUGUAUGUUUUGUCACAUGUCAUGAACAACAACUGAAAGAACAAGAAUUUAAAAGUAAACAUUUCAAUAUCCCUUGUAUGUUUUGUCACAUGUCAUUAACAAUUACUGAAAGAACAAGAAUUUAAAAGUAAACAUUUCAAUAUCCCUUGUAUGUUUUGUCACAUGUCAUUAACAAUCACUGAAAGAACAAGAAUUUAAAAGUAAACAUUUCAACAUCCCUUGUAUGUUUUGUCACAUGUCAUUAGGAAUUAAUGAAAGAACAAGAAUUUAAAAGUUAACAUUUCAACAUCCCUUGUAUGUUUUAUCACAUGUCAUUAGGAAUUAAUGAAAGAACAAGAAUUUAAAAGUAAACAUUUCAACAUCCCUUGUAUGUUUUGUCACAUGUCAUUAACAAUUACCGAAAGAACAAGAAUUUAAAAGUAAACAUUUCAACAUCCCUUGUAUGUUUUGUCACAUGUCAUAAACAAUUACCGAAAGAACAAGAAUUUAAAAGUAAACAUUUCAACAUCCCUUGUAUGUUUUGUCACAUGUCAUUAGCAAUCACUGAAAGAACAAGGCUUUAAAAGUAAACAUUUCAACAUCCCUUGUAUGUUUUGU